GAUGAAGAACGUAGCGAAAUGCGAUAAGUAAUGUGAAUUCCAGAAUUCAGCGAAUCAUCGAAUCUUUGAACGCACAUUGCGCCCGCCAGUAUUCUGGCGGGCAUGCCUGUUCGAGCGUCAUUUCAACCCUCAGGCCCCCAGUGCCUGGUGUUGGGGAUCGGCCCAGCCUUCCUGUAAGGCCGCCGGCCCCGAAAUCUAGUGGCGGUCUCGCUGUAGUCCUCCUCUGCGUAGUAGCACAACCUCGCAGUUGGAACGCGGCGGUGGCCAUGCCGUUAAACACCCCACUUCUGAAAGUUGACCUCGGAUCAGGUAGGAAUACCCGCUGAACUUAAGCAUAUCAAUAAGCGGAGGA
rnacentral:misc_RNA from 1 species